rnacentral:rRNA from 1 species
AUGAACGCUGGCGGCGUGCCUAAUACAUGCAAGUCGAGCGAACAGACGAGGAGCUUGCUCCUCUGACGUUAGCGGCGGACGGGUGAGUAACACGUGGAUAACCUACCUAUAAGACUGGGAUAACUUCGGGAAACCGGAGCUAAUACCGGAUAACAUGUUGAACCGCAUGGUUCAACAGUGAAAGACGGUUUUGCUGUCACUUAUAGAUGGAUCCGCGUCGCAUUAGCUAGUUGGUAAGGUAACGGCUUACCAAGGCAACGAUGCGUAGCCGACCUGGGAGGGUGAUCGGCCACACUGGAACUGAGACACGGUCCAGACGCCUACGGGAGGCAGCAGUAGGGAAUCUUCCGCAAUGGGCGAAAGCCUGACGGAGCAACGCCGCGUGAGUGAAGAAGGUCUUCGGAUCGUAAAACUCUGUUAUUAGGGAAGAACAAAUGUGUAAGUAACUAUGCACGUCUUGACGGUACCUAAUCAGAAAGCCACGGCUAACUACGUG